UGGAUCCGCAAGUCGGCUUGCGAAAUUCAGCUCGGAAAGUAGGCGCGGGUGGCAGGUUGCGAGAUCUUUCAUGGACUUGCCUGCUGUCCGUCCGCCUGUUCGACGUGUGCACUUUUCGCAGGCAGAGCGCCACGACCGGUUCUCGGGCAGUCAGAAGGCGGCAGGGAAGGUAGGUGGGCGUUUCGUGCGUUUGCUGUUAUAGCCCUGCCUGUCCUGAGCUGUUUGAGGACCGAGGAGCCGCCGCCCGGAUCUAAGCUACCCUGCUCUCCUGGGAGGAUUCGACUGGCAGAGACUGGGCAACCGUGUCUGCCGACCGCCUUCCUUGACAGAUCAGGGGUGUACCUGUAGCUGGCCGGGCACAGGGUCGGUGGCGAAUCGGUCGGCACUCCACCCGACCCGUCUUGAAACACGGACCAAGGAGUCUAACAUGCGCGCGAGUCGUUGGGUAGUACGAAACCCGAAGGCGAAGUGAAAGCGAGGGCCGUCCUCGCGACGUGCUCAGGUGGGAUCCCCUUCCGGAGUCUGCCGAGGGGGCGCACCACCGGCCCGUCUCAUUCGCGCUGUCGAGGAGGCGGAGCAAGAGCGUGCACGUUGGGACCCGAAAGAUGGUGAACUAUGCCUGAGUAGGAUGAAGCCAGAGGAAACUCUGGUGGAGGUCCGCAGCGAUUCUGACGUGCAAAUCGAUCGUCAAACUUGGGUAUAGGGGCGAAAGACUAAUCGAACC
rnacentral:rRNA from 1 species